rnacentral:rRNA from 1 species
AGCCAAUAGAUACCCUGGUAGUCCACGCCCUAAACGAUGUCUACUAGUUGUUGGUGGAGUAAAAUCCAUGAGUAAACGCAGCUAACGCGUGAAGUAGACCGCCUGGGGAGUACGGUCGCAAGAUUAAAACUCAAAGGAAUUGACGGGGGGCCCGCACAAGCGGUGGAUUAUGUGGAUUAAUUCGAUGCAACGCGAAAAACCUUACCUGGCCUUGACAUGCCACUAACGAAGCAGAGAUGCAUUAGGUGCCCGUAAGGGAAAGUGGACACAGGUGCUGCAUGGCUGUCGUCAGCUCGUGUCGUGAGAUGUUGGGUUAAGUCCCGCAACGAGCGCAACCCUUGCCAUUAAUUGCCAUCAUUUAGUUGGGCACUUUAAUGGGACUGCCGGUGACAAACCGGAGGAAGGUGGGGAUGACGUCAAGUCCUCAUGGCCCUUAUGGCCAGGGCUUCACACGUAAUACAAUGGUCGGUACAGAGAGUUGCCAACCCGCGAGGGGUAGCUAAUCUCAGAAAACCCGAUCGUAGUCCGGAUUGUUCUCUGC